AUUGAACGCUGGCGGCAGGCCUAACACAUGCAAGUCGAGCGAGCGGCGGACGGGUGAAUAAUGUCUGGGAACCUGCCUGAUGGAGGGGGCAAACUAGUGGAAACGGUAGCAAAUACCGCAUACCAUCAGAUGUGCCCAGAUUGGAUUAGCUAGUAGGUGGGGUAAUGGCUCACCUAGGCGACGAUGCCUAGCUGGUCUGAGAGGAUGACCAGCCACACUGGAACUGAGACACGGUCCAGACUCCUACGGGAGGCAGCAGUGGGGAAUAUUGCGCAAUGGGCGCAAGCCUGAUGCAGCCAUGCCGCGUGUGUGAAGAAGGCCUUCGGGUUGUAAAGCACUUUUAGCGGGGAGGCGUUACUCGCAGAGGAAGCACCGGCUAACUCCGUGCCAGCAGCCGCGGUAAUAC
rnacentral:rRNA from 1 species